GCCAGUAAUGAUAUGCUUGUCUCAAAGACUAAGCCAUGCAAGUCUAAGUAUAAACAAUUUUAUACCGUGAAACUGCAGAUGGCUCAUUAAAUCAGUUAUAAUUUCUUUGAUGGUUAAAUUUUUUUUUACAUGGAUAACCGUGGAAAAUCUACAGCUAAUACAUGCAUAAAGUCCCGACUCUUUUCUUUCGGGGGAGGAGAAAGGAUGUAUUUAUUAGAUUCAAAAAAUCAACAUUAAUUUUGAUGAUUCAUAAUAACUUUUCGAAUCGCACGACCUUUUUAUUUUGUGUUGGCGAUAGAUCAUUCAAAUUUCUGCCCUAUCAGAUUGACUUUUGUGUAGUGGACAAAAGUGUCGUUAACGGGUAACGGAUUUCUAGGGAAAGAUCCCGGAGAGCGAGCCUGAGAGACGGCUCUCACCUCUAAGGAAGGCAGCAGGCGCGCAAAUUACCCAAUCUCGAUACGAGGAGGUAGUGACAAGGAAUAACAAUAUUGGACUUUCAUAAGUCCGAUAAUUGGAAUGAGUACAAUUUAAAUCCCUUAACGAGGAUCCAAUGGAGGGCAAGUCUGGUGCCAGCAGCCGCGGUAAUUCCAGCUCCAUUAGCGUAUAUUAAUAUUGUUGCAGUUAAAAG
rnacentral:rRNA from 1 species